CAGGGAGACAACAAAAUGUUUAAUAUUAUUAUUUUGUCACCUUAGGUCGAUCGGUACCUCACAUUCUUAAUUUAUUAAGGAUUUUAUUUCCUAAGUUUUUUCUAGGUCACACCCAUUACUUUUCCUGGGCCAUUAGCUCAGGUGGUUAGAGCGCACCCCUGAUAAGGGUGAGGUCCCUGGUUCAAGUCCAGGAUGGCCCAUAUCUCUAUGUUGGGGGUAUAGCUCAGUUGGUAGAGCGCCUGCUUUGCAAGCAGGAUGUCAGCGGUUCGAGUCCGCUUACCUCCACUGAUUACCACCUCUUCCAUAACAUGCAGAAAGGAAAAAGUUUUGAGUUGUGAUUUUUAUUCUGAACGAAUCUAGCUUCCUAAUAGAACCAUUAAGAUGCUGGACUCAUUGAAUUAAUUUCAUUGUUUUCAGAGAACCUUGACAACUGCAUAGAUUAUUUUUAAAGACAAUAAGCAUCUUUAAUGAUGCAGAUUUUUAUUUAUGCGAAUGCAUUAAUAACAAUUCUAUUAAGCUGAUGCUUCAAUUUUGAAGUUAUU
rnacentral:tRNA from 1 species